UCCCAUGCUCUGAAGUCACACUUCCUGCCCUGUACUCUAGGAGCGAUGCGAAGCCUCAGGACUCAAGCUUAUUUCUGAAGCAAGGUCUCAAGUCAAAAAAAAGAAAAAGAAACAUUUAGACUUGCCCCUUCUGAGGAGUCGCUAUUCUGUGCCUCUCUAGGGGCCACCUUUGCUCAGAGGCUCCGUUAGGCUGGUGAAGCAGGGGGCUACAGUGGGAGGGAGAAAGGCUGAACAUUCCUCAGCGUCGGCGUCGGCGUCCAUGGGGGGCUCUGAGCGAUGGCCUUCUCCGCUUGCAAGGUCAUUGGUCUUUGAGCCGGACUCGCUGCCUAAGGCAGGCUAAGACUGGCAUAUUAGCAUUCCAUCUACAUUUAACUUGGAAUAAAUUCUAGAUUUAGCCCUGCAGCUAGGAUGGAAUUUUUCCCCUUCCGCUGCCCUCCCGCUUCCUGCCUUAGAGCUGGGUCUGGGGUGAGGCAGAUGAGGGGCUAACAGCGUAACAUGCAGAGAGGCUCUUGCACCACCGUGAGAGUGAGCGCAUGUCUCCUACAAUUUUUCCACUCUAGGUCCUUUGCUUGUCACACAGCGUGGUUACCUCUUCCUCACCUGCAGCUUCAGCCCCACUGUGUUGUCAUAAUGACUUAGCACCUACAAAAUGAAAAGAGGGCCAAAAAAACCCCCCAAAACGUCUAGCUUCCCCCUCAGUUAAGUGUUCAAAGUGUCCUAACUUCCAGCUUUGAAAUAGGACUGAAGAUGAACCAUGCUCCUGGCACCCCCUGUUGAGAGCCCAAGUUCAGCAGAUUGCGGCCAUGGGGGACUGAAAAUGGAGCCCUGGACAAAGACACUUGCUGGGUGACCCAAGGCAAGACUUUCCAUGUACACUAUGAAUGCCAAGUGCUGUGAAUACCAACCCAUGCUUUCAAAGAGCCUGCUGCCUCAGAGCAUGUGAUGUGGAACUUUCUGGUGGCCUCGGCGUGGAGGUUCUCAACCUCAGCUGCACACUGUGUUUAGUUGGUCUGGAGCGAGAUCUAGGCAUCAGUAUAUUUUUUAAGCUCCCCAUGUGAUUGUAAUAUGCAGCCAAGAAUAAAAAAAAAAAACACUG
rnacentral:lncRNA from 1 species